rnacentral:rRNA from 1 species
UACGGGGGGAGCAAGCGUUGUUCGGAUUUACUGGGCGUAAAGGGCGCGUAGGCGGCCACCGCAAGUCAGUUGUGAAAGCUCUGGGCUUAACCCAGAAAGGUCAGCUGAUACUGCGGGGCUAGAGUGCAGAAGGGGCAACUGGAAUUCUCGGUGUAGCGGUGAAAUGCGUAGGUAUCGAGAGGAACACCUGCGGCGAAGGCGGGUUGCUGGGCUGACACUGACGCUGACAGCGCGAAAGCUAGGGGAGCGAACGGG